GACGAACGCUGGCGGCGUGCUUAACACAUGCAAGUCGAACGGAAAGGCCCUUCGGGGUACUCGAGUGGCGAACGGGUGCGUAACACGUGGGUGAUCUGCCCUGCACUUUGGGAUAAGCCUGGGAAACUGGGUCUAAUACCGAAUAGGACCACGCGCUUCAUGGUGUGUGGUGGAAAGCUUUUGCGGUGUGGGAUGGGCCCGCGGCCUAUCAGCUUGUUGGUGGGGUAAUGGCCUACCAAGGCGACGACGGGUAGCCGGCCUGAGAGGGUGACCGGCCACACUGGGACUGAGAUACGGCCCAGACUCCUACGGGAGGCAGCAGUGGGGAAUAUUGCACAAUGGGCGCAAGCCUGAUGCAGCGACGCCGCGUGCGGGAUGACGGCCUUCGGGUUGUAAACCUCUUUCAAUAGGGACGAAGCGCAAGUGACGGUACCUAUAGAAGAAGCACCGGCCAACUACGUG
rnacentral:rRNA from 1 species